GGUGGUGUAGCUCAGUGGUAGAGUGCAUACUUAUCAUGCAUGAGGUCCUGGGUUCACUCCCCAGUACCUCCA
rfam:Camelus ferus unplaced genomic scaffold scaffold226, whole genome shotgun sequence.